UAGGGAAUCUUCCGCAAUGGGCGAAAGCCUGCCGGAGCAACGCCGCGUGAGUGAUGAAGGUCUUCGGAUCGUAAAACUCUUUUAUUAGGGAAGAAGAAAUGUGUAAGUAACUAUGCACGUCUUGACGGUACCUAAUCAGAAAGCCACCGCUAACUACGUGCUAGCAGUCGCGGUAAUACGUAGGUGGCAAGCGUUAUCCGGAAUUAUUGAGCGUAAAGCGAUCGUAGGCGGUUUUUUAAGACGGAUGUGAAAGGACACGGCUCAACCGUAAAGGGUCAUAUGAAACUGGAAAACUUGAGUGCUGGAGAGGAAAGUGGAAUUCCAUGUGUAUCGGUGAAAUGCGCAAAGAUAUGGAGUAACACCAGUGGCGAAGGCGACUUGCUGGUCUGUAACUGACGCUAAUGUGCGAAAGCGUGGGGAUCAAACAGG
rnacentral:rRNA from 1 species